rnacentral:sRNA from 1 species
UAUCGGUUACUACAUUUUCUUGCUCGUU